GACGAACGCUGGCGGGCAUGCCUAACACAUGCAAGUCGAACGAAGCCUUCGGGCUUAGUGGCGCACGGGUGCGUAACACGUGGGAAUCUGCCCUUCGGUUCGGAAUAACAGUUAGAAAUGACUGCUAAUACCGGAUGAUGACGUAAGUCCAAAGAUUUAUCGCCGAAGGAUGAGCCCGCGUAGGAUUAGGUAGUUGGUAGGGUAAUGGCCUACCAAGCCGACGAUCCUUAGCUGGUCUGAGAGGAUGAUCAGCCACACUGGGACUGAGACACGGCCCAGACUCCUACGGGAGGCAGCAGUGGGGAAUAUUGGACAAUGGGCGAAAGCCUGAUCCAGCAAUGCCGCGUGAGUGAUGAAGGCCUUAGGGUUGUAAAGCUCUUUUACCAGGGAUGAUAAUGACAGUACCUGGAGAAUAAGCUCCGGCUAACUCCGUG
rnacentral:rRNA from 1 species